AGAGAAUAUUAUCAUGGGUAUGGUAAUGAUGAAUAACAAGAUAGACUGACCUUUGUAAGGUCCCAUUUGGCUCUGAGAUUCUAUGCCUCUUUCCAUUUUCAGCAAGGCUUCAUCUUAAGAUGAAUGUUUAAAAGAGCACAGAAAAGAAGAUCUGAUAUGAUAUGGAACUUUUAAAAGCACUUUGACUACUUGAUAGGCACUUGGGGACAUAACACACGCAUAAGACAGAGUCCUGGCUUCAAGAUGCUUGUAACUUUGGGUUCGACCUAAAGGAAACAUGAUUGUAGAACAGUUUGGUGUUUGUGAGGUAUUUUGAUUUGCCCGGAAAUGGGACACCUAACCCAUUAGUAUGGCAUCCAGGAGAUUGUUUUUCUUGCAAGACUAUUGACUGCCCACCAUUCAUUCUGCUAAAUAAGUUGAGUAGGGAAGACCUGUUGCAUUUACUUUUUUUUCCUCCAUAGGUGCCUUAGCUGGACCAAUUAUUGUGGAGCCACAUGUCACAGCAGUAUGGGGAAAGAAUGUUUCAUUAAAGUGUUUAAUUGAAGUAAA
rnacentral:lncRNA from 10 species